CCCGGUUCUCGUUAGAUCACCGAAGUUAAGCAUCAUUGGGCGCGGUCAGUACUUGGGUGGGUGACCACCUGGGAACACUGCGUGCCGUUG